rnacentral:sRNA from 1 species
GUGCAAUGGCAUGCUCUCAACUCACUGCAACCUCCACUUCUCGGGUUCAAGUGAUUCUCCUGCCUCAACCUGCUGAGUAGCUGGUAUUACAGCCACACACCACCGCACCCAGCUUAUUUUUGUUAUUUUUAGUAGAGAUGGGGUUUCACCAUAUUGGCCUGGCUGGUCUUCGAACUCCUGGCCUCCUGUGAUCCACCCACCUCAGCCUCCCAAAGUAUUGGGAUUACAGGUGUGAGCCACUGCUCCCAGUCUUUUUUUUUUUUAAUGAACUAGAAUGGAAGGGAAAAGAAAAGAGCAUUGCAAGAUGGAGUGAGGAAACCCAGCAAGGCCUGUCUGUCUAGAUUCUUCUUGGCCUCUCUGAGCAGCAUUUCUUCCUUCUGGGUAUGGGACAGGACCCUUUCUGGAAUGGGGGUCUUAUGACCUACAGUCAAACAAGUAACUAACAUCCAAUUAAAAGAGGAGUCAUGGCUCAAUCCUCAAGAAAGAAACAUGAUUAUAUGGAGUCAUUGCCUUAUGUGGACACAG